UGCAAGUCGAGCGAAUGGAUUAAGAGCUUGCUCUUAUGAAGUUAGCGGCGGACGGGUGAGUAACACGUGGGUAACCUGCCCAUAAGACUGGGAUAACUCCGGGAAACCGGGGCUAAUACCGGAUAACAUUUUGAACCGCAUGGUUCGAAAUUGAAAGGCGGCUUCGGCUGUCACUUAUGGAUGGACCCGCGUCGCAUUAGCUAGUUGGUGAGGUAACGGCUCACCAAGGCAACGAUGCGUAGCCGACCUGAGAGGGUGAUCGGCCACACUGGGACUGAGACACGGCCCAGACUCCUACGGGAGGCAGCAGUAGGGAAUCUUCCGCAAUGGACCAAAA
rnacentral:rRNA from 1 species